AUACAGAUAAUGCAAAAAUAUGAAAUACUGCAGUGUUUCAUUUUUAAUAUGCCAGUUUAUUUUAAAAUAUUUCGCUACAAAUGUAUCUUUACUUGAGUGUCAAGUGCGAUCCAAUUGAACAGAGAGGAGAGGAGUGGAGAUGUGUGCCUUCGACGAAUGAGAUUACUUGACUACAACUAAAGAUUAUCGUCUCCACCUUCUUCGUCUGCGGGGGUUUGAAGUUCGUCGUACGCGUGAGGGAGCAAGUAUAUGUGUAUGAAUUAUUACAUAGGGGGAACUCCACCACUGCAUAGAUGGCCGUCAGACGUUUCCUCACGGGGAAUGAAGUCCAUGACGGCAGUAGAUGACCUUCGUAAUCAGAUUUGUAGCAACUUCUGUUAGGUUACAAAUAGGUAUGACCAUCCAUGACCACAUCGUCCCAGGCCUAAAAGACGAAAUGAUCAUCGAUGAUAAAAGUAGCCAUUAACGUCUCGAUCUUCCUCCUUCAGUCCCCGGUUUGACCCAAGGCAUUGUGGGGUAACUGAUUUACCUCACUCAAGAACUUAAGAAAGCGAGACAUGUGUGGCUUGCUGCUCAGUUAAAAAGCUUUCUUUCUGGGGGCAUAAAGAAGCUUAUGUAAUGAUGGAAAAGCAAGGGAAAUGUUGGAAAAUGUACAAGCUUUCCAUUUUUAUUGAAAUAAAGUCAAUUACUGUAUUGCA